ACAUUAUUUUCCGUAAUUUAGACUAUAUAGCUAUAAAGGCCUGGGGACAGUUGUGUAAUUUAAAUAGAACCAGAGAGGAAGAGGCUAACUUUAGGCUACUUUGGUGAAUUUGCGAGGCAUGCAAGACAUUUAAUUAAGACAUAGCGUGAUGCAGAUUACCAAGACAUAUGUGUUCUGCCUGCCCCUACUCUCUCCCUCGCGCUGGCCUCUUUGGUCUGUUGCAUGCAGAAUAUCCUAGUUUAGGCUAUUCAUGGGACCAAUGUCGCCGGGAUAGAGUUAUCUUCUGAGCAGUCUUGCGAGCACAGGUUGUCUUGAAAGCACCAUAAAUCCAGAGAAUGCCAGACUAUGAUGAUGAAAUUUUCCCAUGAAGGACCGCCGUUCCACCUUCCUGCUGAAGUGAGCACAGCACAACAAGGCGACCAGAACUGUCUGUCACAGCCCUAACUGCUGCUGCACGAAGACCACUCUUUCC